rnacentral:rRNA from 1 species
AUUGAACGCUGGCGGCAGGCCUAACACAUGCAAGUCGAGCGGAUGAAGGGAGCUUGCUCCUGGAUUCAGCGGCGGACGGGUGAGUAAUGCCUAGGAAUCUGCCUGGUAGUGGGGGAUAACGUCCGGAAACGGGCGCUAAUACCGCAUACGUCCUGAGGGAGAAAGUGGGGGAUCUUCGGACCUCACGCUAUCAGAUGAGCCCAGGUCGGAUUAGCUAGUUGGUGGGGUAAAGGCCUACCAAGGCGACGAUCCGUAACUGGUCUGAGAGGAUGAUCAGUCACACUGGAACUGAGACACGGUCCAGACUCCUACGGGAGGCAGCAGUGGGGAAUAUUGGACAAUGGGCGAAAGCCUGAUCCAGCCAUGCCGCGUGUGUGAAGAAGGUCUUCGGAUUGUAAAGCACUAUAAGUUGGGAGGAAGGGCAGUAAGUUAAUACCUUGCUGUUUUGACGUUACCAACAGAAUAAGCACCGGCUAACUUCGUG